rnacentral:lncRNA from 1 species
CUUGGAGCAGGGCAGAGCCAUAUGCUGGGCUCUGGCCACAGGCUGAGAGAGGAAGUGACUCCAAGGCUGAGGAAUGAGCCCAGGAAGUUGACCUUUGAAGCACUCUCCUGCUCUUGGGGCCAUGUCAUCAGGAAGAAACUCCAGGCUGAAAACACAACUGCAAGGCCAACAGGCAGGGGAGCAGCUUUCUCAGGACACCUGAGGUCCUGCCCCACCAGGCUCUGGUCUUUACACACCAUCUCUCACUGUCCUCUAGCCCCAACUGCACAUUGCCUUCCUCCUUCCUGAGCUCAUGCUUGCCCCUCCCUCGGCAUCUCCCUAGCCCCAGCCUGAAGGCUGACCUCCUCCAGAAAGCCUCUCCCUCACCACGAGGCCAGAAAGAGUCUGUCCUGUCUCUAGCUUCUGAGUUUCUUAGUCCCAACGACUGUCCCUGCUCCACUGACACCUUCCAUACACAGCUUUGUGAGCUGUGCGCAUCUGUGGGUACCAGAGGGUCACUGGUGACACCCUGCUCAGCCACAGCACCAGAGAGGAGAGAAAACACCACAACAGUCUUCAUAGAACUAAAAGACUUCCUAGAGCGCGCUUGCCCUUUGUUUCUAUAGCUGCUGCUACGUGGAUAAGAGUCACUAGUUCAGCUCAUAUUCAGGACCAACAGAACACUUCCAAAGGUGGCUCACCUCAGAGACUGGGACUCCAGAGGUCAGCGUGCCUCUGUCUAGCUGUGCUUUCUAGUGAACACGUUACUUCACCUCCCCUGGGCUCAGUCUUGUCACUUUGGCAAUGAGGGCAUUUGGCGGCAUUCUCUGAAGCCACCCUACCCCCUUCAAUGGUCUGGAACCUUAGCAGCACAUUUGAAUCAUCUGAGGAGCUUUUUUAAAAUACCACGGCCUGGGCUCUGCCCCGAGAGGUUCUGAUCUAAUUGGUCUGGGAUAGAACCUCAGGUGGUUCUCAUGUGCGGGCAAGCUGGAGGACCCCUACACUAGUUGUUAUGAGGAUUUUAUUCAGCAAACAUCAAACCCCACAUGGAGUGGUCCAGG